UUACUGAGUUUACGCUCUACAACCCUUUGUGAACAUACCUAUAACUGUUGCUUCGGCGGGUAGGGUCUCCGUGACCCUCCCGGCCUCCCGCCCCCGGGCGGGUCGGCGCCCGCCGGAGGAUAACCAAACUCUGAUUUAACGACGUUUCUUCUGAGUGGUACAAGCAAAUAAUCAAAACUUUUAACAACGGAUCUCUUGGUUCUGGCAUCGAUGAAGAACGCAGCGAAAUGCGAUAAGUAAUGUGAAUUGCAGAAUUCAGUGAAUCAUCGAAUCUUUGAACGCACAUUGCGCCCGCCAGCAUUCUGGCGGGCAUGCCUGUUCGAGCGUCAUUUCAACCCUCAAGCUCUGCUUGGUGUUGGGGCCCUACAGCUGAUGUAGGCCCUCAAAGGUAGUGGCGGACCCUCCCGGAGCCUCCUUUGCGUAGUAACUUUACGUCUCGCACUGGGAUCCGGAGGGACUCUUGCCGUAAAACCCCCAAUUUUCCAAAGGUUGACCUCGGAUCAGGUAGGAAUACCCGCUGAACUUAAGCAUAUCAAUAAGCGGAGGAAAAGAAACCAACAGGGAUUGCCUCAGUAACGGCGAGUGAAGCGGCAACAGCUCAAAUUUGAAAUCUGGCCCUAGGCCCGAGUUGUAAUUUGCAGAGGAUGCUUUUGGUGCGGUGCCUUCCAAGUUCCCUAGAACGGGACGCCAGAGAGGGUGAGAGCCCCGUACAGUUGGACACCAAGCCUUUGUAAAGCUCCUUCGACGAGUCGAGUAGUUUGGGAAUGCUGCUCAAAAUGGGAGGUAUAUUUCUUCUAAAGCUAAAUACCGGCCAGAGACCGAUAGCGCACAAGUAGAGUGAUCGAAAGAUGAAAAGCACUUUGAAAAGAGGGUUAAACAGCACGUGAAAUUGUUAAAAGGGAAGCGCUUGUGACCAGACUUGCGUCCGGUGAAUCACCCAGCUCUCGCGGCUGGGGCACUUCGCCGGCUCAGGCCAGCAUCAGCUCGCUGUCGGGGACAAAAGCUUCAGGAACGUAGCUCUCUUCGGGGAGUGUUAUAGCCUGUUGCAUAAUAC
rnacentral:misc_RNA from 1 species